UUUUUGUCCCAGUUGCUCCAGGUUGGCAGAGGAUAGCGGGUGCUCUGAGAGGACUGAAUGCCAUGCAGCCUGCUGCGAGCCACUCCUGAGGGGAAUUUAAGCUUAACCGGAAGAGUCAGCAGAGCAAACACUCCAUCCCAUCCCAUCAUUGGCUUCUGUGCUGGAUUAAACAAGGCUGGAAUUCAGACCUCUCAUAGCAGGAUAGCGUCAGCCUUGUACUUUAUGGGCCUUAUCUGGAAUUGAAUGAAAGAGAAACUGAUAGGUGAGGGAGCAGCUCUUGAGCUGUUUUAUUUAUUUAUUACUCUCCAUCUCCUUCUUGCAGUUUCCCUGUUCUGCAGCCCAUGAGAUUCAAGUGCCAUGAGAUUUUUACCUCCCAGUGACCACUAGUAUUUUACAGAAUGAAGGAACUGGGGAAGAGUCAGUAAAUUGUUUUGUGUCACCAAGAGCUCUGUGACACAAAACACAGCUCCCAUCCCCAGCUACAGCCACUGAACCAGCUCUCCUGCCACAGGGGUGAUAGCAGAAUGCAAUCAUUCCAGCUGAGGUUCAGAAAGCAAAAAGAUAUUUAAAGUAAUAAUGAUGGUUUCAGCCUCUUACUCUUAAGUAGUAUGUGAAAUACUGGACCUGGAGAUUCUGCAGAAACUGUGAGAAAGGAGACAUCCCCAUUUCCGUCCCCUUGGCUGGGACAGUGGGUGGGAAAGCACAGCCGAAAUAGAUCCCUGAGGGAGCAGGGAAGGGGAGAUGGGAAGAGCAAGAACCUGAAGUGAGGAAGUGGCUGCAUGAAGUGGGUUAUGAGACACAUGAUAGGAGUAGCAAGAGUUAAAUCUCACAAAAAAAUAAUGUGCUAAAAACAAACCCCCAAGCCCCUAACAGAAACCAGUAGGAGGUAAAAAAAGAUGUAAAAAAGAGGUAAAAAACAAGUGAAAGGUUCCAAGUGAGAAAAAAGGUGGGAGUUUUGCCUGAGAACAUAACCUACUAUCUUGUCUCCUAAUCCUUUUAAAGGACAGAGAAGAUAAAUGCCCAAAUCAACAGAACAGUGUAAAAGUUGGACACAAGAGUGCUACAGGGAGUGUGAGCCCUGCCCAGCCAAGAAAGGACCCAAUGUGCCUCCCAUCUGCGGCAUCCUGUGUGUGGAGUGAAGGGAGACAAGGCAAGGACAGUGCUUGCAAAUUACAACUGGUAGGAACCAUACACUUCAAUAAAUUUGGUAUGAAACUGUUCUUGAAUGCCAGCUACAGGGACUGGAUAACCUGAGAGAUCC